GGGGAAAUAGCUCAGUUGGUAGAGUGUUUGCCUAGCAUGCACAAAGUUCUGGGUUCAAUCCUCAGCACCA
rnacentral:tRNA from 1 species